rnacentral:rRNA from 1 species
GAUGAACGCUGGCGGCGUGCCUAAUACAUGCAAGUCGAGCGAACAGACGAGGAGCUUGCUCCUCUGACGUUAGCGGCGGACGGGUGAGUAACACGUGGAUAACCUACCUAUAAGACUGGGAUAACUUCGGGAAACCGGAGCUAAUACCGGCUAAUAUAUUGAACCGCAUGGUUCAAUAGUGAAAGACGGUUUUGCUGUCACUUCUAGAUGGAUCCGCGCCGCCUUAGCUAGUUGGUAAGGUAACGGCUUACCAAGGCAACGAUGCGUAGCCGACCUGAGAGGGAGGAUCGCCACCCCGAGAAGCGGAAACCGUCCCACCACCUACAGGAAGCCAAAGUAAGGAAUCUUACACGAUAGAAGAAACACCUAGCGAAGAACCCCCAAGGAGUUAUGAAGGUCCUCGGGUCAUAAAACCCUGUUAUUAGGGAAGAACAAAUGUGUAAGUAACUAUGCACGUCGUGACGGUACCUAAUCAGAAAGCCACGGCUAACUACGUG